rnacentral:rRNA from 1 species
UACGUAGGGUGCGAGCGUUAAUCGGAAUUACUGGGCGUAAAGCGUGCGCAGGCGGCGCGUUAAGACAGGUGUGAAAGCCCCGAGCUUAACUUGGGAAUUGCGCUUGUGACUGGCGUGCUGGAGUGUGGCAGAGGGAGGUGGAAUUCCACGUGUAGCAGUGAAAUGCGUAGAGAUGUGGAGGAACACCGAUGGCGAAGGCAGCCUCCUGGGCCAACACUGACGCUCAGGCACGAAAGCGUGGGGAGCAAACAGG